AUGAAGGACCUUGAGUCAAAAGAGAAGCAACAUGAAAGUCGAGCGAAGGAGCAUGAGUUAAAAGUGAGAGAAUUUGAAGGCCAAGUAAAGGAGCUGAAAUCUAAACACAUACAUUUUAAAAGCCAAGUGGAGGAGCUCAAAUUAAAAGAUAUGCAAUUGAAAGGAAAAGUCAAGGAAGUUGAGACCAAAGAGAAGCAACUUGAUGGCCGAGUGAAAGAGUUCCGGUCAAAAGAGGAGGAGUUCAAAGAUCAAGUAAAGGUGUUUGAAUAA